UACAGAGGUCUCAAGCGUUGUUCGGAUUCAUUGGGCGUAAAGGGUGCGUAGGUGGCAGGGUAAGUCGGAUGUGAAAUCCCGGGGCUCAACCUCGGAACUGCAUUCGAUACUGCUUUGCUGGAGUACUGGAGAGGAGAUUGGAAUUUACGGUGUAGCAGUGAAAUGCGUAGAGAUCGGGGAGGAACAUCUGUGGCGAAGGCGACUACCUGGACCAGCACUGACACUGAGGCACGGAAAAGCGUGGGGGAGCAAACAGG
rnacentral:rRNA from 1 species